CACUUUUCUAGCAUUGUUUAUGAGUGCCACAGCGUUUGUUAUUUUGUGGCGGGCUUUUCCCUUACUGGGGUUCACUGCUAAUGUCUCCAUUGAUAUCGCUGACGCAUUAUCCUCUUAGGUAUUCCGGCGCGUAUCGAAGACUGAGUCGCUGCUCCUUCCACGCCUCCGCCGCCACCUUUAUCGGAGGAACUUUUUCCCUCCACCGUGUUGGAUUUGGUUUCUAAACUUAUAACAUUGAUAGCAACAUGAUUUCUUAUGUCAUUGGACCUGCAGCUGCAUGUGUUGGUUGAGAAAACAAGUUUAGGUUGGGGGAGAUUUCUAAAAUUCGAGGACUUGGCAUGGGUCUCAUAACCAGUGCACAUUCUAGUUCCUUGGAGUUGCUUUUGAUUUGGAUUCAGGUACUUGAACAAGGAUACUUUCGACCUUGCAGUUAUACUGAGCUUCUCCUUCUGGGCCUUCCACUGACACUGAUAGGCCAUGUAGCAAUAGAUUUUUGCAUCAGGUGAUGGUGAUCAAGCGGCAGUGAUCAACAACCUUUGUUCUGUAGACACUCUGGGAUGAGCGUGGCACAGCCCCAAGAUCAUCAUUGAGCUUCUCUGCAGAAGAAAAGCAAGUAGGAAUCCCAAUUGAGUCUUGCAUAUUCUUGAUGAUGAAGUUCAGGUGCACUGUGCACAGCCUGAUAGAUAUGCGAAGAAGCUAUAGAAAUCAGAAAUUGAUAAUAAGAGAAGAACGGGUUGGGGUAAGUUAUAAUAUAAACUUGUGAAAGGUGUGAGAGCCUGAAAGAUUUUAGUCCCAAUUUGAAUAAAAUUCAGAUGCUGCCAGAGGUGUUCUUGGCUGCAUUAAUUGAAAUUUUUCUUAAAAAAGCUGGCAUGCUUAAGAUUGGUUUUCAUAUUUCUUUAUAUGUCACCAGAUAUCUUUACUGAGGGUGUUUCUACUCAGUGGAAAGACAGAGGUCACUGAAAUGUUUUAGGCUGUGACCAUUUGGAUUAUUAGAAGAAUGUCAACUUUGUAUUCAAUUUCAAAAUUCAAAAAUCUUCAUUUAUGUCAUGCCAUUUGUUCUGGAUAUAAGGAAUUGAAGACAGCUUCUGUUUGUCCUCCUGUAUAUUAAUUCAUUUAAUUUAUGUCAUUCAUUUUAUUUUGCAGCUAA